GACGAACGCUGGCGGCGUGCUUAACACAUGCAAGUCGAACGGUGAAGCUCCAGCUUGCUGGAGUGGAUCAGUGGCGAACGGGUGAGUAACACGUGAGCAACCUGCCCCUGACUCUGGAAUAAGCGCUGGAAACGGCGUCUAAUACUGGAUACGAGAAGGGUCCGCAUGGGCACUUUCUGGAAAGUUUUUCGGUUGGGGGUGGGCUCGCGGCCUAUCAGCUUGUUGGUGAGGUAAUGGCUCACCAAGGCGACGACGGGUAGCCGGCCUGAGAGGGCGACCGGCCACACUGGGACUGAGACACGGCCCAGACUCCUACGGGAGGCAGCAGUGGGGAAUAUUGCACAAUGGGCGAAAGCCUGAUGCAGCGACGCCGCGUGAGGGAUGACGGCCUUCGGGUUGUAAACCUCUUUCAGCAGGGAAGAAGCGAAAGUGACGGUACCUGCAGAAGAAGCACCGGCUAACUACGUG
rnacentral:rRNA from 1 species